rnacentral:rRNA from 1 species
UAAUACGAAGGACCCGAGCGUUAUCCGGAUUUAUUGGGUUUAAAGGGUGCGUAGGCGGAUUUUCAAGUCAGUGGUGAAAUCUCCCAGCUUAACUGGGAAACUGCCAUUGAAACUGUUUAUCUUGAGUACAUUUGAGGCGGGCGGAAUGUGUCAUGUAGAGGUGAAAUUCUUAGAUAUGACACAGAACACCAAUUGCGAAGGCAGCUCGCUAAACUGUAACUGACGCUGAGGCACGAAAGCGUGGGUAGCAAACAGGAUUAGAUACCCUGGUAGUCCACGCCCUAAACUAUGAUAACUCGAUGUGUGCGAUACACUGUACGCGUCUAAGCGAAAGCAUUAAGUUAUCCACCUGGGAAGUACGACCGCAAGGUUG